rnacentral:rRNA from 1 species
UACGGAGGGUGCAAGCGUUGUCCGGAAUCACUGGGCGUAAAGGGCGCGUAGGCGGCUCAUGAAGGCUGUGGUGAAAGUCCGGGGCUCAACCUCGGAUCGGCCGUGGCGACUCGUGGGCUGGAGCACUGUAGAGGCGGGUGGAAUUCCGGGUGUAGCGGUGGAAUGCGUAGAGAUCGGGAGGAACACCGGUGGCGAAGGCGGCCAGCUGGCGCCUGACCUGACGCUGAGGCGCGAAGGCAUGGGGAGCGAACGGGG